rnacentral:rRNA from 1 species
UGGGGAAUCUUGGACAAUGGGGGCAACCCUGAUCCAGCCAUGCCGCGUGGAUGAAGAAGGCCCUAGGGUUGUAAAAUCCUUUCGCCAGGGAAGAUAAUGACGGUACCUGGUAAAGAAGCCCCGGCUAAUUUGGUGCCAGCAGCCGCGGUAAUACGAAAGGGGCUAGCGUUGUUCGGAAUUACUGGGCGUAAAGCGCACGUAGGCGGCCUUGUAAGUUGGGGGUGAAAUCCCGGGGCUCAACCCCGGAACUGCCUCCAAAACUACAAAGCUAGAGGAUGUGAGAGGAUAGUGGAAUUCCGAGUGUAGAGGUGAAAUUCGUAGAUAUUCGUAAGAACACCAGUGGCGAAGGCGACUGUCUGGCACAUUUCUGACGCUGAGGUGCGAAAGCGUGGGGAGCAAACAGGAUUAGAUACCCCUGUAGUCC